UCCUCGGUAGUAUAGUGGUUGGUAUCCGCGUCUGUCACCUGCGAGACCCGGGUUCAAUUUUCUGCGUUAGGAA